UAAUAAGUGUUUUAUGGCACUUUUUAAAUCCAUAUCCACCUUGUGUGCAAUGUCAGUCGAUCUUCUUCAUUGAGAUCGACCAAACAUCAACCUUUAUCUUUUAACUCUUGUCUGAAAAAUAUUAUGAAUAAACAAUUCAAAAUA
rnacentral:misc_RNA from 1 species